UACGAGGGGGGCAAGCGUUGUUCGGAAUUAUUGGGCGUAAAGGGCGCGUAGGCGGUGCGGUAAGUCUGAUGUGAAAUCUCCGGGCUCAACUCGGAGUCUGCAUCAGAAACUGCCGUGCUCGAGUGUGGGAGAGGUGAGUGGAAUUCCCGGUGUAGCGGUGAAAUGCGUAGAUAUCGUCUGGAACGCCAAAGGUGAAAACAGCUCGCUGGGGUUGUGCUGACGCUGAGACACGAAAGCCAGGGGAGCGAACGGG
rnacentral:rRNA from 1 species